rnacentral:rRNA from 1 species
UACAGAGGUCCCAAGCGUUGUUCGGAUUCACUGGGCGUAAAGGGUGCGUAGGCGGUCGGGUAAGUCUGAUGUGAAAUCUCACAGCUUAACUGUGAAACUGCAUUGGAUACUAUCCGGCUCGAGGAAUGGAGGGGAGACUGGAAUACUUGGUGUAGCAGUGAAAUGCGUAGAUAUCGUGAGGAAGACCAGUGGCGAAGGCGGGUCUCUGGGUAGUAACUGACGCUGAGGAACGAAAAGCGUGGGUAGCGAACAGG